rnacentral:rRNA from 1 species
GGGGAAUAUUGGACAAUGGGGGCAACCCUGAUCCAGCAAUUCUGUGUGCACGAUGAAGGUUUUCGGAUUGUAAAGUGCUUUCAGCAGGGAAGAAAAAAAUGACGGUACCUGCAGAAGAAGCGACGGCUAAAUACGUGCCAGCAGCCGCGGUAAUACGUAUGUCGCAAGCGUUAUCCGGAAUUAUUGGGCAUAAAGGGCAUCUAGGCGGCCAGAUAAGUCUGGGGUGAAAACUUGCGGCUCAACCGCAAGCCUGCCCUGGAAACUAUGUGGCUAGAGUACUGGAGAGGUGGACGGAACUGCACGAGUAGAGGUGAAAUUCGUAGAUAUGUGCAGGAAUGCCGAUGAUGAAGAUAGUUCACUGGACGGUAACUGACGCUGAAGUGCGAAAGCUAGGGGAGCAAACAGGAUUAGAUACCCUGGUAGUCCUAGCUGUAAGCGAUGAUUACUGGGUGUGGGCAUGAAGAGUGUCCGUGCCGAAGCUAAUGCGAUAAGUAAUCCGCCUGGGGAGUACGGCCGCAAGGCUG